UGAGGAAUAUUGGUCAAUGGCGAGAGCCUGAACCAGCCAAGUCGCGUGAGGGAAGACGGUCCUAUGGAUUGUAAACCUCUUUUGCCGGGGAGCAAAGAGCGGCACGUGUGCCGCGCCGAGAGUACCCGGAGAAAAAGCAUCGGCUAACUCCGUGCC
rnacentral:rRNA from 1 species